rnacentral:lncRNA from 1 species
ACCAGUAAACCAUUUGAAAUAUGGAUGUGCAAACCAGUAAAUAAAUCAUGAAGUUACACACUAGUCUGCUUUCGCACUCAUUCAGAACUAUCAAUGAUACUUACUGCAGGUACGGUGUAUACAUUAUACUAAAGUGAAGGCUGGAUCAAUAAGAAAUUCAAAAUGUUUCAUCACAUUUGGGGCUUGAUGAUGCCAAAGAAAGACCAUACCAAUUAUGAUGAACAGUAAAAUGUGAACAAGAACAAGCAUACAUUUAAGAAAGCAGAGAAGCAUCAUUAAAAUAAAGUAUUCUUCUUACUAUUCUAUGUUGUUGGAAAAUGGACCAAAAUAAAAAAGGAACCAUAUAUGGUUAACGUCACAACAAGAGUAUUUGUGCAUUUGUACAUCAUAGGAUAUUGGGAAGACAUCAGCAGAGAAGUGCAAGUCAAAAAGGGGAAAAAAUGAAAAGAGAUAGAUCAAAAGGAAUGCAAUCUAAUUAAUCAUCUAAGGAGACUACUAUGCUACAGUUAGCCAUUGGUUGAAUAGGCAGCUUGUUUUCUAGUACAACUUUAAAUUUUCCAAGAUUUAGAAUUUUCCUACUGAAGAAAACUAAUUUCUAAAGCAGCUAUUACCAUCUUCAUCCCAACAGUAAGCAGCUCCAUACUAAGGAAAGAGUGAAAUAAGUUUGCUUUACUUAUAGAAGCCCAUUCCUGUCCAGAGUGAUUAGUAAGUUGUUUCACCAUGACCCCCAUUAUGGUGACUGAAAAAAGAAAAAUAAAAGAAGAAAAUAUUUGCCGAACACAAUAGUAGCACCUAAGAAGUCCUACUUAGGAGGCUUCAUACCCUGCACAAAUCGGAAAGUUUUUUAAAAUUUUCAUGUUUCAAAUGAAGAUUGUCCAUUAAAAAAUUACACACAUAAUGUAUGUAAAGCAAUUAAAAAAAAAAAAAAAAAACAAGGAUAACCCAGAAACAAUCCAACCAUCAAUAACAUAAAACUUUUGUAAUUCUGGUAAAGUGAAUGAGAAGCAGAACAUACAUUUCACGUAAUAAUGAAGAUACGUCUUUUAAUCAGUCUUUGCUCUUAAUUUAUUCUCGUACUUCCUUCCAAUAACAAUUCAUAAUGCAGGUAGGUAUCUUGAAAAAUUAUAUCAUACAUUUCUCUUAUCAAUGGGGCAGGUUGCUAUUGAACAUUAUUCAUAAACAAAGAGCCAAAUAUGCUUUAAAGCUACUUAAAAAUAUGCCAUCAGGCACUGACGCAGACACUCAACAACAAAAAACAGACUUAUUAUAUUUGUUGCACAAAUAAGAAAGAAGAUAACAAUUUUAAAUUAACCAACAGGUUGAGUCUUAUCGUAAUACACACUAUCAGCUAUGAAUUAGCAUAUCUUUAGAAGUCCUGAACUCAUUCACGGCCAUUCGAAGAGAAUCAUCCGAUAGAAUCAACGGUGACAAUGCUCCAGUGCUUAACCUGCGAAAAUUAGAUCAAGCAGAGCUUGCAUUCCCUGAAGUUAACCAAAAAAAAAGAAAAAAACAUUACGAUGACUUAAAUUUUAACAGAAAACAAAAAACAAAGCAAGAGUGAAUAGAGUAAUACCAAAGCAAAUUUAGGAUUGUUAGGUCCAAUUUGUGGACCAACUUCUGAACUUCUAAUAGUAGACUUAGGAUGAAGGAUUUGAAGAGGCUGUGGCGGCGGCGAAUACGCAUCAAGAUUCACACUGCUCCUCGCUUUGAGGGCCAAAAGAGUGCGGAGGCGCGACAAAGCUGACACGCGAUUCUUGUGCUGCGAUCGGUGUUCAGCGGCAUGUGCUAUGACGCCGGUCGGUACGUGCUCGAGACGUAUGGCGGAUUCGCGCUUAUUGCGGUGCUGACCGCCUGGUCCCGACGAUUUGUACACGUCCAUUUAGCAUUCGCGAAACAGCUCAUCGUCCGUCAAUUCUAAGUAAUUCUUCGAAGAAGAAGAAGAAGAAGAAGAAGAAGUUGAACAAUGGCUGAUAAUUCCCGCGAUGCUUGUACGACGGAAAGUUUAUAUUUUUCCUUCCGAGUUGGGGAAUCCGAAGCAGGAAUUGAGCGGCCAACGCCCUCAUCAAUUUCAUUUUCCCUCACUGUGUAUGCGAUGAUGAAAGCAAAGCUUCGUACUAGUAACUCAUUCUUAUGGCAGGCCCAGCCCAAUCCAGCCCAGUCCAGCAAAUGAGCAAUGUUAUUGUUUUAUUAUUUUUGAACUCGUGGUGGCCCUGUAUUAUUUGCAAAUUAUUUGCAAAAUACUCGUAUAAGGAGAGGGACAUAUUUUAUGCUGGAAUAUUUUCAAUAUAAAUGGUGCUCUAAAAAUGUGUCCGACUGUAAAGAUAUGUCUAAUUAAACAGUGUCAUAUAUAAUAAAAAUGUAUCCUUUUAUUUAAAGAUGAAUCCAUUCACGGUUUCAUGCUUCAAUUUGAAAUAACGAUAGUUUAUUUUGGACCAGUGAUGAUCUAAUUCAAAUUUUGAUUUAAUAACCAUGAAUGAAAUAACCACUUUCUGUUAGUUCUCUUAAAAUUUAUUAAGAAAUCUAUAUUGAAGGAUGUUUCAUCCUUUAGUGUUGUAGAAAAUACACUUUACAUUUUGAAAUUUAAAAUGACCUUCUUUUAAAUAAAAUUUUAAAACAAAUGCCUCUAACUAAGGAAGAAAUUUUGGAUUACAUCAAAAAUACCAUGUUAGCCAUACAACAAGUGAAUCAUGAUACGACACAUGUGCACUGAUUUUAAAAAACUAUCAUUCAAAUGGUGGUUAUAUUGAAUAUAAAUAUGUACAUAUCAUACAUGACACAAAUCACCUCAACCCUUCUGUUGGAUCUGGGGUGAAUCAUGCAAUUUUAUAUCUAAAGCUCAUGACAAACUUAAUUCAUGAAUAUAUAACACUAGCCUUGGCCUUUGUUAUAAACAUAUAAUAAUCUAUGUGCCUCAUUCAAAAAUUUAUUAAAAACUUACAUAGUUCAUAUCUCACUGUACAUACAUACACUUCAAAAAUAUACAUAUAAACAUAAACGUGGUCAAAAUGUAAGUCGUGCAGUAAUGCGUGUCGUGGCCCAACCUCAAUUGAUCAAAAAUUGAAAUACACGAAAUCCUAUGGAAACCUUAGAGAAAUGGCGUAAAUAGGAAAAUAGUAAGCUUGCGACUCAAUGAAUGAAUAUAAUUAUAUAUAAAAAUAAAUUAGUGCUUUAGUGUUCGUCAUAAUUGUAUGACAUAACUUUACACUAAACACUUUACAAAAGAAAACAUGAACUCAUAUAUACAUACAUGACAAAAUUGUACCAAAUAAUUUACAGGGGAAAUAACUCUCAAUACUUACUGGGAUCAUCAUCGCACGAGUAAAAAGGGGGAAAAACCUCUCAAUACUCAGUAGAAUUAACAACAUCGCAAAGGUCGAGUAAUUUAACUCUCAAUACGCAUGAGUAGAGCCUAUAGGGAAAGGUACACAUAUGGUACCAGUCAAUUACAUCUCAUGACUCAGUUAAUCAUAUAAUGUGCGUUCAUAUAAUCAUAACAUUAUACUAAAUCAUACUAUCAAAUAUAAAUGUUUUGUAAAAUACAUAAUAAUAAUCCACUCACAGAUCCUAUUGAUGAAGCACGCACGUGCUUUGCUUUAAGCUAACAGCUUGCUAUUGCUUUGACAAUUAACCCAUGUGCCUCCUUUUAAAUUGGACGUGCGUCACAAUACAUGCAUUAGAAUUGGUUGUAUUCUCAUGGGUGAAGCAUGAAUGUGCUUUGCUUUAAGCUAACAGCUUGCUAUUGCUUUGACAAUUAGCCACAUGUGACCCGUUUAUAGUUUAGGAAAUAACAAUAUUGAAUAGAAAUAUUCUUAGAAUAUAGUAUUUAUUUUCCAUUCAAACAUUUUCUCAUUUAGGCAAAGGUCACAAAAAAAAAAUACUUUUUUAAUUUAAAUAUAAAUAUGUAAAAAAUAAAUAACUAAUUUUUUUUUUUUAAGUUAGACUUUAUAUGCUUAACAAUCAACCCUAUGGAACAUGAAUAAGAGCUACUAAAACAAAAAAAAAAAGAAUAAUUUGGAAACUAAAUACAAUUAAUUGAGAGAUGAGGACGGAUAAGAUAAAUUCAGAGAUAAAAAUUAAAAUAUCACCCUACUUAUUGCUGGCAGUUAUGAGCAUUAAAGCACAGAAGCACGUGUGUUGAAAAGUAUGGUGUUCGUGUGGAAUUUUCAGCUAAAAGUCUACAAGGCAGUUGAAUUAAUCAAUCAUCGUGGAGUGCACGGUGGUUGGACAAUGAGAUGAAAUUGAAAAAUUAUCACGGAAAUUGAAGGAAGGGGCAUGGCAUUGAUUUAUUCUACAGAGUCACGCACAUUUAGUUCAAUAAUUGUUUUCAUCCGAAUCAAAAUCUCUCGCUAAUCAAUUCAACUGUUUCUGUUGAUUAUGGCUUCUUCUUCUCGAAACAACAAGCAGUGUGAUGUUUUUGUUAGUUUCAGAGGAGUGGACACCCGCGACAACCUUACUAGCCAUCUCUAUUCUGCUCUGUGUCGACAAAAUAUCCAAACUUUCAUUGAUGACCAACUUAACAGAGGAGAUGAAAUUUCGGAGUCUCUUGUGAAUGCAAUUGAAGCAUCAGCCAUUUCAGUUAUCGUCUUCUCAGAAGGGUAUGCAUCUUCCAGAUGGUGUCUCGAUGAACUUGUAAAGAUCCUCGACUGCAAGAAGGAGUAUGCACAGAUUGUGAUUCCGGUUUUCUAUCGGGUUGAUCCAUCAGACAUGAGAAACCAAACUGGGAGUUUUGGAGAUUCAUUUUCGAAUCUUGAAGAAAGAUUAAAGGAGAAUACUGAGAAGCUGCAGAGUUGCAGGAAUGCUUUGGAGGAAGCAGCAAGUUUGUGUGGAUUUCAUUCUCCUAACAUCAGGUGAAAAGUUAAACCUUUAAUUUCUCAUACUAAUAUUUAACAAUAAAUAAAAUUCACGCAGCACUCUUAGUUAAAUUUCCGGAUGCUAAACUACAAUUUUAAAAAUUUUUAAGCAUCAAAUUCUAGACUUCCUGACUUCCCCACUUUUGUGCUCUCAUAAUUAUAAAAUAAUUGUGACAGAAUUAAUAAUAAAAGCUCGAGAAUUUUACAAUAUAUAUGUAACAAAAUUAGGGGUGGUCUGUCGUUUUUUAAGCAAUUUCAACCUCUCACUCAGAUACCACCAUUAGAACGAAAAAAAAAAAAACUCACGCAUAUUCCUGUAAUUUAAGAGUUAUUAAUUUACUGGAGAUUGUAGACUAGUGGUGGUAUAUAUUAAUUUCAAUAAGAAAACUGACAAUCUCCCUUACUUCAUACUUAAUACAAAUUCCUCGUAUUAAUUUGAAGUUACUUUGGCUAAUUUUAUGUAUUUGCUAGGUGUGAGUCGGAACUUACAAAUGAAGUUGUUAAUCACAUUUUGAAGAGAUUGGAUGAAGUGAUUCAGCCCCGUGAUAACAAAAACCAGCUGGUUGGAGUGGAAUCAACAGUUGAGGAAAUUGAAUCCCUAUUAGGUGUUGAGUCGAAAGAUGUUUACGCUUUAGGGAUUUGGGGCAUUGGUGGUAUAGGCAAAACAGCAAUUGCUAGAGCUAUUUUCGACAAAAUCUCGGGUGAUUUUGAAGGUUCUUGCUUCCUCGAAAAUGUUAGAGAUGAGUCACAAAGACCAGGAGGAUUAGCUUGCUUAUGACAAAAACUUCUUUCAAAUUUAUUGAAGGAUAAAAAUGUGAUGCCUUAUGUUGAUGCUGAAAUCUGCUCGCCCUUGGACCGACCAGAUUCUUUCACCAACGUUUAUAUUAUCCACUGCUGCUCGAACCACUGGGGUUGGAAUCACUCUCCUCUUCCUUACUAGACCUGCGUUCACCAAAAACAGAUCAGAGACGCCGGUGGUUUUGCCGGCAUAAACCCUCUGAUGCCUAAGUUAGCACAAGGUGUUUACGGGAAAACAGUUAAAUUUUGAUUCAAGAGUGGCUCUAAUUUGCUCGAAGUUUUUAAUAAAAUUGUCUGGUUUCAAUUUGGCAGCGUUUUCCCUCUCUUAGUUUUUCUAUCCCUUUCUUCAUCGAUUUCUCUCCCUUUUAUAGCCGCCCCCUGUCUCACGUUUUCCGUUUAUCCUUCAUCACCCCUUUUUCGGGUGGUGGCAGCCCCUCAUGGGGCUCUAACUGUUACAUUGUGGGCAAACGUGGGUCUCGCGUGUCCUUCAACGGUUCUGGGAAAAGCGCAACUACCGCGAUUUUGUGGGAUCGUGUUCCCGCUUUCUUGGGGAUGAGUAUCGGCUCGGUAUAUACCUAUGGUCGGUAUGUUUUCCUGGUUGUACUCAUUUCUGGUCGGCUCAUGUUUGCCCCCGUGUUCUGCUCGCAUCACUCGGUUGAAGCGAUCCGUGCUGGGGUGGAAACAAUAGCAUGGCCGACCUGGUGCUUUUAUGUACUCAACACAUAUUGACCUCAAUUUUAGAAGGCUCAGCCGCAUGAAGGUUUUGAUUGUUUUUGAUGAUGUGAUUUGCUUCAGCCAAUUAGAAUCUUUAAUUGGAAGUCUUGAUUGGUUGACGCCUGUGAGUUGAAUCAUAAUAACCACUAGAAAUAAACAAGUGCUUAGAAAUUGGGGGGUGAGGAAAAUAUAUGAGAUGAAGGCAUUAGAAUAUCAUCACGCUAUUGAGCCUUUUAGUCGACAUGCCUUCAAACAAAACCAUCCUGAUGUUGGUUAUGAGGAACUUUCAAGCAAAGUAAUGAAAUAUGCUCAAGGUGUUCCUUUAGCUCUUAAAGUUUUGGGUUGCUUUCUACAUAAAAGGGAAAAAGAAGUCCGGGAAAGCGCAAUAGAUAAAUUGCAAGAAUCCUCCAUCCAAGUAUUCUUGAGGUAUUAAAAAUAAGUUAUGAUAGUUUGGACGAAGUGUCUAAUAGCGACAAAAAUUUGUCUUGGUGGGGCUGAAGUGUUAUUCACUAGUGGAAUAUAAAUAUCAUUUUUCAUUUGAUAUUAACUUUAUUGAUUUUUCUAUUUAUUUUUGGGGACAGAAAAAAUUGUGGGCAUCUGUUUGGAUAUGUCAAAAGUAAAAGAGAUCCAUCUAAAUCCCAGUGCGUUCGCAAAGAUGCAUAAAUUGAGAUUUUUAAAAUUCUAUAGUUCAUCAUUCAAUGGGGAGAACAAAUGCAAGGUGUCUCAUUUGCAAGACCUCAUAUUUGCUGAAGUGAAAUAUCUUCACUGGCAUGGAUAUCCGUUGAAGUCAUUGCCUUCAAACCUUAGUGCAGAGAAGCUUGUGUUUCUUGAAGUGCCUAAUAGCGACAUUGAACAAUUUUGGAAUGGUGUGAAGGUAUGUUUAUCUUAAUGUAUAUGUGCAAUAUAUCAAUAAGAACAUUAAAUUAUCAUGCACAGUAAUGAUUUUAUCUUUGCCUCUUUUUUGACCGAGCAGCAUUAUAGUAAGUUAAACCAGCUAAUCCAUGCUGCCUGCAAGAAGCUAAUUGCCAAAACUCUAAACCCCACGUGGAUUCCACAUCUGAACAAGCUAGUUAUCUUGAAUCUAAGCGGUAGCAAGAGCCUUAAAAGUCUUCCAGCUGGAAUAUUUAAUUUGGAAUUUCUUACCGAACUUGAUCGUUCGGGUUGUUCAAAGCUGAAGAGGCUUCCAGAGAUCUCAUCUGGUAACAUAGGCCGGCUAUUUUUAAGUGGAACUGCAAUUGAAGAACUGCCCUCAUCAUUUGAGCUUCUACUUAGGCUUUGGUUGUUAGACCUUUCAGAUUGUAAAAGGCUUAAGAGUCUCCCAAGCAGCCUCUGUAAGUUGAAGUCUCUUGAACUUCUUAGUCUCCGUGGUUGCUCAAAUCUUCAGAGAUUGCCAGAAUGGCUUGGCCAGUUAUCGUCGCCACUAAUAGUGAAUCUAUUGAAAACCAAUAUUGAGAGAAUACCAGAAAGCAUUAUCUAACAAUUUAUGUUGCGAUACAUCCUCUUAGAUUAUUGUGAGGGGCUUCAAUCCUUACCAAAGCCUCUAUUCCUUGUACGAUGGUUAGAUGCCGAUCAUUACUCGGCACCACAAUCAUUAACAGGUUUGUUCUCUAAGUUCUGAAUCUUAUGGGCAAUGUUUUUUUACUAGAGCAAUAAUUUUUAAUUGGAAGGUAAUUCUACUGCAGAAAUUAUUCAAGAUGCCUUGAGAAUUCAAUAUAUGGGUCAUGUGGUAGUGGUACCUUCCCGUUGGAAAGAAGUACGGGAAAAGGUGUGUCUUAAUUCUUUCUCCUUACAAUUUAUACCUUUUUUUUGGGUUUGAAAUUUUGAUCUUUUGGUAUAGAGAGGUUUUUCCAAGGAAGGCCAUUACGUACUAGCUGGGAAUGAAAUUCCAAGGUGGUUUAAUUUUCAAAGUGUGGGAUCUUUUAUAACGUUAGAGAUGCCCCCAGAUUUCUUCAAUCACAACAGAGUACUGGGCUUUGCAUUUGGUGCCAUUUUAGGAUUUCCAGGCCGUCAUGUAGGUUGUGGCAGAUGGUUUUCAUUUUCUUGUGAGCUCAAAGUGGAAACCACCAAAGAUUGUGAUCUGCAUGACACACUGUUAUUUCAAAGAAGAGUUAAUUAUUUAGAAUCAGAUCACUUACAUUUGGGAUACUAUUUGUUCUAUGAAGAGGAUUUUAAUGGGUUUUGGAAAUGCAAUUGCUUUCCUGAGACAAUCCACUUUAAUGUUUUUCCACCUUUGGAGUGUGAGUGUUGCGGAGUGAAAAAAUGUGGGAUCCAUUUUUUUGGCAUUGCGGACUCUACGAAUUCAAUAGAAGACCCAAGCAGAUGUUUCAAAUAUAACGAAGAAGACUGAGAUUUUCAUGAAUGUAUUUUUAUUGUUUUCCUUUUUCAAAUCACUAUUAAUAAUAGGAGAAAAUGCCAAAAUCAGUUCUUGGAACAAAACAUUCAUGUUAUAACUUUUGACGGAUCUGGUGCGUGUAACACAAAUUCACACUAGAGUAUUGAACUAUACUCUAAUUUACCUUAUUAGGUGAGUAUUGAACUUUACCUUAUUAGGUGAAGAGUGUAAUGUAUGAAAAGCACAUGAUGUAUAUUGUAAAAUUAAAACUAUUGGCCUUCUUUCUUGCUCUGCACACACCACCCACAACGAUUUGUUAUUGGACUUUGCAACCCAAAACACAUCUACUUAAGUGAGCAUGUGACUUAUAAACUAGUGAAAAAACUCAUUUGCCAGCGGCAUGGAAUAUUACAGGACGCGCAACGAGUUCUUACAGAGUAUGUUGUUGGCCCAUAUCUCAACCAAUGAACACAUGCCACUCAUCCCAUUGCGUACUACAUCAACUCUCCUGUAUAUAACGCAAGUCUGGUGUUCAUGUGGAAUUUUCAGCUAGAAGUCUACAAAGCAGUGGAAUUAAUCAAUCAUCGUGGAGUGCACGGUACUUGGACAAUGAGACGAAAUUGAAAAACUAUCACGGAACUUGAAGGAAGGCUCAUGGCAUCGAUUUAUUCUACAGAGUCACGCACAUUUGGUUCAAUAAUUGUUUUCAUCCGAAUCAAAAUCUCUCUCUAAUCAAUUCAACUGUUUCUGUUGAUUAUGGCUUCUUCUUCACGAAACAACAAGAAGUAUGAUGUUUUUGUUAGUUUCAGAGGAGAGGACACCCGCGACAACUUUACUAGCCAUCUCUAUUCUGCUCUGUGUCGACAAAAUAUCCAAACUUUCAUUGAUGACCAACUUAACAGAGGAGAUGAAAUUUCGGAGUCACUUGUGAAUGCAAUAGAAGCAUCAGCCAUUCCAGUUAUCGUCUUCUCAGAAGGGUAUGCAUCUUCCAGAUGGUGUCUUGAUGAACUUGUAAAGAUCCUCGAGUGCAAGAAGGAGUAUGCACAGAUUGUGAUUCCGGUUUUCUAUCGGGUUGACCCAUCAGACGUGAGAAACCAAACUGGGAGUUUUGGAGAUUCAUUUUCGAAGCUUGAAGAAAGAUUAAAGGAGAAUACUGAGAAGCUGCAGAGUUGGAGGAAUGCUUUGGAGGAAGCAGCAAGUUUGCGUGGAUUUCAUUCUCCUAACAUCAGGUGAAAAGUUAAACCUUUAAUUUCUCAUACUAAUAUUUAACAAUUAAUAAAAUUCACGCAGCACUCUUAGUUAAAUUUCCGGAUGCUAAACUACAAUUUUAAAAAUUUUUAAGCAUCAAAUUCUAGACUUCCUGACUUCCGAACUUUUGUGCUCCCAUAAUUAUAAAAUAAUUUUGAAAGAAUUAAUAAUAAAAGCUCGAGAAAUUUACAAUAUACAUCUAACAAAAUUAGUGGUGGUCUGUCGGUUUUUAAGCAAUUGCAACGUCUCACUCAUACACCACCAUUGGGAAAAAAAAAGGAAAUUAUCAUUGCACCACCUUCCUUUUACCUAUUGUUCAUCCAAUUACCACAAAAUUCUAACAUGUUCUUUGCACCAUUUUUUUUAAAAAAAAUAUUGUAUCAAUAAGCCACUUUUGCACUAACACCAUAAAAUAAUUUAAAUGAAAUGAAAAUUUUACAAUUAAAUAAAUUAAAUGACCAUUUUUAUUUUAUAAAAAUUAAGAAAAUAAAAAAUUAUAAUUAUAAAAAUACCCCUAAAUUUAAUUAAAAAAUAAAUCCCAAUAUUAUAACUUUUAUUUUUAAUAAAAAUUAUUUUAAUAAAAAAUUAUAAUUAUAAAAAUAAUUACAAAAUUUUGGGAUUUAAUAAAAAUCCCCUAAAUUAUUAAAAUUUUAGGAUUUAUUUUUUAAUAAUUAAAUUCAGUUAUUUUAAUUAAAUUUUAAAAAAUUAUAAUUUUUAAUAAUAAAUUAAGUUAUUUUUAUUAAAAUAUUGUAAAAUUAUAAUUUUUAAUUAAACAUAAUUAUUAAAAUUUUGUAAAAUCUAAAUUUAAUAAAAAUUAGCUGAGCACCUCUAUUUGAGAUUUUUUAUAUUAAAUUUAGGGGUAUUUUUUUAAUUAUAUUUUUUUUAUUUUUCCAAGCUUUUAUAAAAUAAAAUGAUUUUUUAGUUUAUUUAGAGGUAAAUUUAUCAUUUUGUUUAAACUAGUUAACGGUGUUAGUGGAAAAGUGGCUAAUUGAUAUAAAUUUAAAACAAAAGGUGGUGAAAAGAAUAUGUUAUAAUUUUGUGGUGGUUGGAUGAAUAUAAAACAAAAGAGAGGUUGUGUAGUGAUAAUUUUUCCCCAAAAAAAAAACUCACACAUAUUACUGGAGAUUGUAGACUAGUGGUGGUAUAUAUUAAUUUCAAUAAGAAAACUGACAAUCUCCCUUACUUCAUACUUAAUACAAAUUCCUCGUAUUAAUUUGAAGUUACUUUGGCUAAUUUUAUGUAUUUGCUAGGUGUGAGUCGGAACUUACAAAUGAAGUUGUUAAUCACAUUUUGAAGAGAUUGGAUGAAGUGAUUCAGCCCCGUGAUAACAAAAACCAGCUGGUUGGAGUGGAAUCAACAGUUGAGGAAAUUGAAUCCCUAUUAGGUGUUGAGUCGAAAGAUGUUAACGCUUUAGGGAUUUGGGGCAUUGGUGGUAUAGGCAAAACAGCAAUUACUAGAGCUAUUUUCGACAAAAUCUCGGGUGAUUUUGAAGGUUCUUGCUUCCUCGAAAAUGUUAGAGAUGAGUCACAAAGACCAGGAGGAUUAGCUUGCUUACGACAAAAACUUCUUUCAAAUUUAUUGAAGGAUAAAAAUGUGAUGCCUUAUAUUGACCUCAAUUUUAGAAGGCUCAGCCGCAUGAAGGUUUUGAUUGUUUUUGAUGAUGUGAUUUGCUUCAGCCAAUUAGAAUCUUUAAUUGGAAGUCUUGAUUGGUUGACGCCUGUGAGUCGAAUCAUAAUAACCACCAGAAAUAAACAAGUGCUUAGAAAUUGGGGGGUGAGGAAAAUCUAUGAGAUGAAGGCAUUAGAAUAUCAUCACUCUAUUGAGCUUUUUAGUCGACAUGCCUUCAAACAAAACCAUCCUGAUGUUGGUUAUGAGAAACUUUCAAGCAAAGUAAUGAAAUAUGCUCAAGGUGUUCCUUUAGCUCUUAAAGUUUUGGGUUGCUUUCUGCAUAAAAGGGAAAAAGAAGUCUGGGAAAGUGCAAUAGAUAAAUUGCAAAGAAUCCUCCAUCCAAGUAUUCUUGAGGUAUUAAAAAUAAGUUAUGAUAGUUUGGACGAUAAGGAGAAAAAUAUUUUCCUUGAUAUUGCUUGUUUCUUUCAAGGUGAGGAUGUAGAUCUAGUAACGAAAUUUUUUAAUGCAAGCGGUUUCCACCCAGAAAUAGGAAUAAGCGUUCUUGUUGAUAAAUCUCUCAUUGCUAUUGGUUCAUACAACAAGAUAAGAAUGCAUGAUUUACUACAAGAGUUGGGUAGGGAAAUUGUUCGACAAGAAUCUAUUAAUCCUGGAAAUCGCAGUAGGUUGUGGCAUCAUGAGGAUAUCUAUGAAGUUCUUACAUAUAACACGGUAAGCAGUUUGUUGUGGAUAAUUAUUUUGAAAUAUUCUAGCAUUUACAAACUUGAUAGGAAUAUAUUUAUAUAUGCUCGAACUGAUGAGUCUUAGAAUUAAUAGAAGAGCGACAAUGAUUAGAAAAAACCAUAUCCGUUAGAUGACGUAGCAAUAAAUUAUAAAUGCCAUGACAACUUGCAUAAUCGUUUGCAAGCAUAAUUGAUAUGCCAAUUUGUAUGGUACACAGACGGAAUUUUUAUAUUAAGUAUUACUUGUGUUAUUAUGUUUCUUUGUGCAUUUGCAAUUAAAAGUUUAACUGCCUAGCAAUAACUACAAGCUACCUCUAAUUGUGAAUUAGUGAGAAAAUUGCCCCAAAAAUUAUCCCUAUGUAUUGUUGAAGGGCGAUUCAUUGGUGGAAUACACAUAUCUUUCAUUUGAUUUUAACUUUAUUGCUUUUUCAUUUAUUUUUAGGGGACAUAAAAAAUUGAGGGCAUAUGUUUGGAUAUGUAAAAAGUAAAAGAGCUCCGUCUAAAUCCCAAUACUUUCACAAAGAUGCCUAAAUUGAGAUUUUUAAAGUUCUAUAGUUCAUCACUCAAUGGAGAGAACAAAUGUAAGACGUCUUAUUUGCAAGACCCUGGAUUUGCUGAAGUGAAAUAUCUUCACUGGCAUGGAUAUCCGUUGAAGUCAUUACCCUCAAACCUUAGUGCAGAGAAGCUUGUGUUACUUGAAGUGCCUGAUAAUGACAUUGAACAACUUUGGGAUUGUGUGAAGGUAUGCAUAUCUUAUGUGCAAUCUUUCAAUAAAAAUAUUAAAUUAUUAUACGUGGUGAUGAUUUUGUCUUGGCCUCUUUUUUGACCGAGCAGCAUUAUAGUAAGUUAAACCAGAUAAUCCACGCUGCUUGCAAUAAGCUAAUUGCCAAAACUCCAAAUCCCACGUUGAUGCCACAUCUGAACAAGCUAGUUAUCUUGAAUCUAAGAGGUAGCAAAAGCCUGAAAAGUCUUCCAUCUGGAAUAUUUAACUUGGAAUUUCUUACCAAACUUGAUCUUUCGGGCUGCUCAAAACUGAAAAGGCUUCCAGAGAUCUCAUCAGGUAAUAUAAACUGGUUAUUUUUAAGGAGGACUGCAAUUGAAGAACUGCCUGUUGGUGGUAAAAUUGUGGGGAAUGGCAAAUGUAGAGAAAUACAACAAUAAUGGUGGAACUUUAUUAUGUAAAGUAAUAUGUUUACAACUAACUCUGUAUGUAGGAAGAAACUGCAGAAAUUUUGUGUGCUUCAAGGCACGUUACAAAUGUCGCUUUCCUUAAGACGUUAUUUGCCCCCACCAAUUGAGUGAUGCACAUGGGUUAAGCAAAUACGCCUCCAGGAUACAAUGAAGCACUUGUUUGUUUGCUUGCGUUGUGCAUCGACGAAAGCAAACCAGAAUACUCUUGAAUGUUGCAAGCCUGCCAAGAAACAAUAUAUUGUUCCUGCAGAAAACAAUAUAUUGGAAUGUGAAUGCACAAAAGAAAUGAGUGUUUUGUGUUGAAAUUCGUACUAGAAAAGAAUGCUAAGAAAAGAGUGGUGUAGGAUCAUUUAUUUCAUGUCUAAAUGGCUUAAACAUGACCCCUAUUUAUAGAUAUACUUGUGCCCCCUCAUUUGGGUUAUCAUCUUUCAUGAUACCCCUUCAUUCAUGGCCAUUGGAUCUAGAUUUGAUUUUAAUCAAUGGUCCAAAUUGAAUCAUCACCAUUUCAAAUGAAAUGUCACCAUGAAAUGAUGCAUCUCUAAGUGAAAUGUUGCCAUGAAAAGUUAUAUCAUUUAGUAAAAAGAUACCUUUUCUACAAGACGCAAUUAAAUGGACAUGUCCUUACAACAAUACAUCAUUUAAUUAGACAUGUUUUUAGUGAAAGGUACCUUUUCUAUAAGGCACAAUUAAUAGGACAUGUUAUUUUGAAAAAUUUCCAACAAUCCCCCACCAUUUUCAAAAUAAAUGAAUUUUGAAAAAUUAUCUUGCACAGGCUUGGAAAACUUAUGCAUAGAUGAAGGUGUCUUUUGGACUUGAACCUUCACUUAGUGAUAAUACAUCAAAGUUAAUCAAGGUGGCAAGGUAGGCAAGCUUUGAACCAGCGACCUUAAUCGACUAACCAGAUAUAUCUCACACAUAAGUUUUCAAAUUCUCAAGUAUUCCUUAGCCGACACGUGGAUUGGCCCUAUGUCUAUAUCCUGUUUUCAUGAGCGCUUUAGUAACCAACCAAGUUACAUAGGAAGCGGCACCACCUCCUACACUCACAUAAGUAGAGUUAUCUAGAAUGUCCCUGUAACUAAAAAAUUUAUAAGUCCAUUAAAAGCUAAGUAGCUUAACCUUUCUCAUAUGUUACAGGUAUCAAGCACUAACCUUUGGGACGCAUCUAAAAAUUUUAUAGUGCUUGCUAUCACAACAUAUGAUGUACUUUUGCUCAUUGAACCCAAGAUCUUGAUAUUUCAAGUGUUGGGUUGAGUUUCCAUCAUUGGUGAUAAGAUGAUGCUGGCUUCAGUCCCAUCCCCUUAGAAGUUUUAAAUACAAUAUCCCUUGCAAGGCCUUUAGUUAAGGGGUCUGCCAAAUUUUGGCAUGAUUUCACAAAGUCAAUUGUGAUUACUCCAUCUGUAAGUAAUUGUCUUACAUAACUAUGUCUUAGACCAAUGUGCCUAGACUUUCCAUUAUAGAUUUGACUAUAUGCUCUUGAUAAAGUUGCCUCACUAUCACAGUGAAUAGAUACAGGAGGCAUUGGUUUAGGCUAAAUAGGAAUUUCUAUAAGCAAAUUCCUUAACCAUUCAGCUUCCUUGCAACAUGAAGCCAAAGCUACAAAUUCUACAGCCAUGGUGGAGUCUGCUAUACAAGUUUGCUUCUUUGAGCCCCAUGAAAUAGCUCCUCCACUAAGAUUAAAAAUCCAACCACUUGUGGAUGUAUGAUCAUCUCGAUCAGUAAUCCAACUAGCAUCCGAAAAUCCUUCCAAAACUGAAGGAUAUCCAGUGUAGUAUAUACCAUAAUCCAUUGUAUGUUUUAAAUAUUUUAGAAUUCUGUACACUGCUUGCCAGUGUGCUUGGCUUGGAUUACUAGUAUAUCUACUGAGCUUUCCAACAGCGAAAGCAAUAUCAGGCCUAGUACAAGUCAUCGCAUACAUAAGACACCCAAUAAUACGUGCAUAUUCUAAUUGAGAUACUGAUCUGCCAGUGUUAGGAUACAGUCUUAUGUUUGAAUCAAAAGGUGUUGACACAGACUUACAAUCAUAAUAAUUAAAUUUCUUUAAAAUUUUCUCAAUAUAAUGUGUUGGGUCAAUACUAGGCCAUUCUCAUUUUUUAUAAUUUUAAUCCCCAAAAUCACAUUAGCAAGUCUCAUGUCAUAUCUUAAAUAGAGUGCCUAAUAAGAAAACAAAAGUGACCGCAUAUGAAUUAUGGAAAAAGAGAAAGCCUAAUCUUUCUUAUCUAAGAGUUUGGGGUUGUCGAGCCAUUGUAAGACUACCAAAACCUAAGAUAAAGAAAUUAGGAGAAAGGGGCAUUGAAUGCAUAUUCUUGGGAUAUGCUGAGCAUAGUAAAGCUUAUAGGUUUCUUGUAAUAGAACCUAAUAGCUUUGUUGAGAUCAAUACUAUAGUGGAAUCUAGAGAUGCAAUAUUCUAUGAAAAUAGAUUUUCCACUAUACCAAAAAGUAUUGAUUCUCAAGAGAAUGAUAAACAAAUAGAAAUUGGCCAAAAGCGUGAUGCUAAUAAUGAGCAAAAUCAUUUGAGAAGAAGUAAAAGAAUAAGGACCAUAAAAUCUUUUGGACCAGAUUUUAUAGUCUAUUUAGUUGAAGGGACAAGAGACUCACAAUCAAAACAGACCAUGAUCACACCUACUAUAGAGUCUGAUCCCCUCACCUAUGAAGAGGCAAUGAAGUCUCAAGAUACUGCUUUUUGGAAAGAGGCCAUUAAUGAUGAAAUGGACUCUAUUGUGGGUAAUAAGACUUGGAAAUUAGUUGAUUUACCACCUGGCUCUAAUCCUAUAGGUUGUAAAUGGAUUUUCAAAAAGAAGAAGAAAGUUGAUGGAACAAUUGAAAGAUUUAAAGCAAGACUAGUAGCAAAAGGCUUUACACAAAAAGAAGGCCUUGAUUAUUUUGAUACUUAUGCACAUGUUGCAAGAAUUGCUACUAUUAGAGUCUUGAUUGCUUUGGCUUCAAUUUAUCAAUUUGAAAUCCAUUAAAUGGAUGUAAAAACAGCUUUCUUAAAUGGAGAAUUAGAUGAGGAAAUUUACAUGAAACAACCAGAAGGGUUUGUUAUGCCAUGACAAGAACAUAAAGUUUGUAAACUAGUCAAGUCUUUAUAUGGUCUUAAACAAGCUCCAAAGCAGUGGCACGAAAAGUUUGACAAAGUGAUUGUCUCAAAUGGAGGAUUGUUGGAAAAUUUUCAAAAUAACAUGUCCUAUUAAUUGUGCCUUAUAGAAAAUGUACCUUUCACUAAAGACAUGUCUAAUUAAAUGAUGUCUUGUUGUAAGGACAUGUCCAUUUAAUUGUGUCUUGUAGAAAAUGUAUCUUUUUAUAAGGCACAAUUAAUAGGACAUGUUAUUUUGAAAAUUUUCCAACACUGCCUUCAUCAAUUGAGCUUCUACUUAGGCUCGGGCACUUGGACCUUUCAGAUUGUAAAAGGCUUAAAAGUCUCUCAAGCAGCCUAUUUAAAUUGAAAUCUCUUGGAGUUCUUAAUCUCGGUGGUUGCUCAAAUCUUCAGAGAUUGCCCGAAUGUCUUGGCCAAUUAUCCUCGCCAAUAAUAUUGAAUCUAGCGAAAACCAAUGUUGAGAGAAUACCAGAAAGCAUUAUUCAACUUUUCGUGUUCCGAUACCUCCUCUUAAGUUAUAGUGAGAGGAUUCAAUCCGUAUCAUUGCCUCUUGCACGAGGUUUGCCUGGCACUGCAACCAUUCUUAGGUUUGUUCUCUAGGUUAUGAAUCUUAUAGGCAGUGUUUUUUGACCGGAGCAAUAAUUUUAAAUUGGAAGGUAAUUUUACUGCAGGAAUUCUUGAAGAUACCCAGAGAAGUCCGCAUAUGGACCAUAAGCUAGCUGUCCUUUGGCAAUAAAUACAGGAAAAUGUGUGUCUUUAACUCUCUCUGCUUACAAUUUCUACAAUUUUUUUUGGGUUUAAAAUUAUGAUAUUUUGGUGCAGAGAGGUUUUUCUAUGGUCAAAGUUCAUAUGGUACUGCCUGGGAAUGAAAUUCCAAAGUGGUUUAAGUUUCAAAGUGCGAGAUCUUUUGUAACCUUGGAGAUUCCACCAGAUUUCUUCCGUAAUAGUAGAGUGCAGGGCAUUGCAUUUAAUGUUAUUUUAGCAUUUUCAAACCGUCAUGUAGAUUAUGGCAGAGGGUUUUCAUUUUCUUUUGAGCUCAAAGUGAAAACCACCAAAGAUUGUAGUCCCCAUGACACACAGUUAUUUCAGAGCAGAGUUAAUUAUAUAGAAUCAGAUCACUUACAUUUGGGGUACUAUCUGUUCUGUGAAGAGGAUUUUAAAGGUUUUUGGAAAUGCAAUUGCAUUCCUGAGGCAGUCCAAUUUAAUGUUUUUCCAUCUUUGGAGUGUGAGUGCUGUGGGGUGAAAAAAUGUGGGAUCGAUUUAUUUCGAUUCCCAAAUUCUGCGAAACCAAUGGAAGAUCCGAGCACAUGUUUCAACUAUAACGAAGAAGGCUGAUAUUUUCAUGAAUGUAUUUUUAUUUCUUUCCUUUUUCUAAUCAUAAUAAUAGGAGAAGAUGUCAAAAUCAGUUAUUGGAACAAAACAUUCAUGUAAUAACUUUUGAAGGAUCUGGUGCAUGUAACACACAUUCACACUAGAGUAUUGAACUUUACCUCAUUAGAUGAAGAGUAUAAUGUAUGAAAAGCACAUGAUGUGUAUUGUAAAAUUAAAAUUAUUGGCCUUCUUUCCUACAUUGCGCACACAACAAUCCAAAACACAUCUAUCUAAGUAGGAGAGCACGUGAAUUAUAAAUUGUAAAAAAACUCACUCGCUAGCGAUAUGGGAUAUUGUAAGACGCGCAGCAAGUUGUUAUUGGGGGAGCAAUGUUGUGGGCCCAUAUAAGGCCUGACAAGAUAUUGUCUAACUAGACUUGACAAGAUAUUGUCCGCUUUGGACCUUAAUGAGGCUCUUAUAGUUUUGUUUCUAGGGCGUCCAUACACCCCUAAUCGCGUUUUGUCAAUUAAGGUGCGGAUUACUCCUUAUAAACCUAUAAUCUCUCCCUUACUUGUUGAUGUGAGAUUUGCUUAGGGUGUUAUACUCAUCAUGUUGCGCACUAUAUCAACUCUCAUGUAUAUAAUACAAUCACAUUUGAAAAUUUUCUACUUUCUUAAAUCUAAAUUUUUGUACAUGGGAAAGUUUCAUCAUGUGCAAGCAAAAGCCAUUAAGAGGGAACAGUUAAAACACCAUCAAAUCUAUAUAUUUUAAAAAAUAUAUUUGUAUGUGGAUUUUUUUAAAAAAAGAACAAGGUAGGUGUCAUUUUCACUCAACUCAUUUGUGUUGUGAAUCCAUUUGCUAAAACAUGUAUGCACUUUUUCAAGUAUCUAUACUAAUUUCAUAUUCGGAAUGGUGCAUUUGAUUCCAUAGUUGAUGUGGGAGUCUAUGGCUAGAAUUUACCUUUAAAAUAUCAGCUUGGAAGGAAAGGAUUAAAGAUGCCCAUGAACUUAUAUUUCUAUUUAGAAUACUGUAUCUUUUUCAUGCAAAAAAUGGAAUCUUAUCAUUCACAUAUCAUUAACAUAAGCAAUAUAGAUCACGUAUCUUUAUGAUUGUGCUAAAUUUGACUUUUUAUAGAAUAAUUUGAUACAUUUCUUAAAUCCAUUUGGAGCUUCUACAACUUGUUAGGGAUCAGUUUCUCCUACAUUCAUUUCGGCGCCAAACGAUAUUCAAGCGGUUGAAUAAGAAUUGAUAUAUACAACAUAAAUAUAAGAGUUGUUUGUCUUUUUACAAUCGCAAUAAUAUAUAAUGCACAUAUAAAUGCAUUCAUGUAAUUCACAGAGUCAGAGAUAUUGCAUACAAAAGUUAAAUACAUGCUUUGAACCUAUACAAAAAAAAAUUACAGUCGAAAUUACGUAGAAGAUGAAUAAGGAGCUAAAUUUUUAUUUACCCAACAAUCAUCUCGCUACACAAUUCACAACAAGAAAGAGCAAUCUUGUUUGGCUAACCUGCGCCCGUGAGGAAUGGAGGCACUAAAGCCAUGGAUAUGGAGCAGAGGUGGAGAAUUGGGAUGUGAAUUUGGAAUUGAAGAAACCAAGUAAUUGAUGGAGUAUUGGCCCUUCCAUUUCCACAUUUUGCAACUCUUCCUUACCUCAUUAACCUCCAAUUCCAGCGCAGCUGAAGUAGAAUCCCUCCACUGCUACUGUUAGUAUAACUGAUGGUAACAUUUUGUCUCUUCUUUUUGUCCUUAUUCCUCUGCUGCAACUGCAACUUAAACUGCCAACUCUUAUUGCUCAAUACGGGCAUGAGCAGGCCCUUUCGAUUUCCAUCCCCAAUUCCGAGUGUUGUUAACUUGUUAUUGGAAUAAUGGGAGAGGGAGCCCGAGCACAUACUCAUUCUUUUCUUGCUUUUUCAAUUGAAUAUUUUCCGUGGCCUAGACGGGCCUGCCCUUUCCCUGCUUCUACCUCUAUGAGACUGACUACGACAGAACUUUUUAUUUAUUUAUUUAUGAGGCUUAUUCCACUAUUAUAUGAAAAUUUUACUGAUAUUCCUCAAAAAUCAAAAUGCCUGAAACGAAUAUUAAGCGCUUUACUAAAAUACUCUGUGUGAUGGAACCUCCACCCAAUAAUUUUUGCAUACCCAUCUCAUUUUUUUAAAAAAAUAAUUAUAAAAAGUAUAGACUAUUUUUAAAAAUCUUCAAAUAAAGAAGAACUUUAGAGGAUUAAUUAAUUAAAUUUAUUUUAAUUUAUUUUUUUGUGACUCAAUUUUUUUAUUAUAUUUGACUACAAAGAUUACUUUGGCAUAAGUUUAAAUUCGAUUUUACUCUUACAAGGUAAAACUAACAAGAAUUUACUUUAAUAUUUUUCUAAUUUUAUACCCAACUCAAGGUUUCUAAUACUACUUUAUUAGUAUGAGUAUUAAUCCUUAAUUAAACUAAUAUAGUGUCUUUAUGGCAUAUACUAAUGUAAAUUGUUGAGAUGUCAAAUUUAUGCCAUUUACACGUAAGGGUAGUAAAAGUAAUAAUUAGAUUUCAUUUAAAAAUAUUAGAUUAUAAAUCAAAAAAUUGAAUACUUAAAUUAUUGGAUACAAUAACACAUGUUUAUUGAGGCAAUUUAGUCGUUAUAUAUCAGAAUAAUAAUGAACUAAAAUAAAACUUAUAUUAAAGAUUAUGAUCAAAGAUGGUCAAAGAACUUAAGAUUGAGCAAAUCCCUUGACUGCAAAAAUUAGAUCAAGCAAAGCUUGCAUUCCCUAUAGUUAAAAAAGGAAAAAAAUCAUUACUAUUACCCUUAAAUUUUAAUUAAACAAAAAACGAAGCAAGAGUGAAUAGAGUAAUACCAAAGCAAAUUUAGGAUUGUUAGGUCCAAUUUGUGGACCAACUUCUGAACUUCUAAUAGUAGACUUAGGAGGAAGGAUUUGAAGAAGCUACGGCGGCCGCGAAUACGCAUCAAGAUUCACACUGCUCCUCACUUUGAGGGCCAAAAGAGUGCGGAGGCGAGACAAAGCUGACGCGCGAUUCUUGUGCUACGAUCGGUCUUUAGCGGCCUGCGCUAUGAAGCCAGUCGGUACGUGCUUGAGACGUACGGCGGAUUCAUGCUUGUUGCGGUGCUGACCGCCUGGUCCUGACGAUUUGUACGUGUCCAUUUCGCAUUCGCGAAACAGCUCAUCGUCCGUCAAUUCUAAGUAAUUCUUCUUCGAAGAAGAAGAAGUUGAAGAACAAUUGUCAUUGGUGUUGUAAUUACAAGACAAGAACAAUGGCUGAUAAUUCCAGCAACACAUUCUUAUAGUAGGCCCAGCCUAAUCCAGCCCAGUCGCGCUAGUGAGCGACUUCUCACCUAUCUUAUAUGCAAUGAUUAUGGGCUGGUUGGAUGUAGUUUAUCUAAUAAGUCUUUAUUUAGGGCCAAUUUAGGAUUGCGAAGGUUGAUGAAAUAAACUACUUGUACUGUAUAGAUAAAAUAAGUUGCUAAUUAAAAAAGUAGCUAAGUAUUUGGUAAAUUGCGUUGUUACAGUUACUGUAAGUUUGAAAAGUAGAGUACAUGCGUUUGGUAAAUUUUAUUACAAAAGUAAUGUUUUAUUAUAUGAUGACCAAAAUAGAAAUAAGUUUAAAUUAUCUUUUACUUUUAUAGUAUAUUUAAUAAAUCAUUUAGACAUACCUUUUCUUCUUAAACAUGUAAAAUUACAUUAAAAAACUCAAUUAACAACAUGGAUAUAAAAUAAAACAUGGGUAAAGAAAAGAGUAUAGGGAAAAGGACAUUUACACCCCCAAGGUUUGGGAAAAUGGUCACCAACACCCCCAAAUUUUUAAAGAGGGACAUCCACACCCCCUUUUGACCAUUAUACCCUUUACCUCUAUUAUUCUAGAAAAAUCGACUCUAAUAUUUUACAAUAAAUAUAAAUAUAAUAUUAAAAUAAAUUUAAUAAUAUAUACAUUUUAAAAUAAUUUAAAUAUUUAAAUAUUUUAUAAUCUAUUAGAUAUAUUUUAUUAUAUUAAAGUAAAUUUUAUGAUAAAUAGAAUCAAAAAAUAAAAAUAAAGGUAUUAAAUAUUUAAAUUAUUUUGAAUAUUAUGUAAAAUAAUUAUUUUAACAAUAUUAGUAUGUUAGAAUGUUUUUAAUUGUAGAAUGUAUUUAAUGCAAAUAUUUAUUUAAAAUCUCUACAAUAAAUAAAAAUACAUUAUUAAAAUAAAUAUAAUAAUUUAAAUAUUAAAAUAUUUUAAUAUUGUUAGCUACUACAUAGAUUGGAUUAUUUACAUGGUAUUUGUAUUUAAUAAAAAUUUUAAAGUCAAUUUUUUAGAAUAAUAGAGGUAAAUGGUAUAAUGGUCAAAAGAGGAUCUCGGUGUCCCUCUUUGCAAACUUGGGGGUGUUGGUGACCAUUUCCCCAAACUUGAGGGGUGUAGUUGUCCUUUUUCCAAAACUAUUUAGAAACAAAUAUGAACUUACUGGAUAAAAAUUAGAUAUAAAAAAAUAUAAAUAUAUAUAGAUUAAAUUUUAAAAGCCAUAGUUAUGGAAUUACAAUAUGAACUUAUUGGAUAAAAACUGGAGAAAACGUACGUGGUUACAACGGUAACUAAAUUAUGGCGGUAAUAUAAUAUCUAAUGAUUUAUAUAUUAGGGUUUAUAAAUAAGUAAGAUAUAAUUUUUUUAUGAAAAUACUAGGUUUGUAAUAGGAAUUUUUAAGAAGUGUUGUAGCUUAUUGAAUAAGUUGCUUAUGAAGAGCAGCUUAUGAUAUCUAAUGAUUUAUAUAUUAGGGUUUAUAAAUAAACAAGAUAUAAUUGUCUUUUUAUUAAAAUACCAAGGUUGUAAUAGGAAUUUUCAAAAAUGUUAAAAUGUUUAAAAUAUUCUUUAUUUAUUUGACAAUCUUAUUUUAUUUUUUAUAACAUAACUUUAAAAAACUUGUCUAUUAAAUUAAUUUUAUAAUUUGUAAUAAAAGUUUUCAUUGACAACCAAACAAUUAAAUUUCUUUUUAGUAACUCUAUUUAUAAAAGUUCUACUGACAAAAGGUCGAUUUAAAUAAGCUCUAUUUAAAAGUUAUACUAAACACAGGGAUGACAAAAAUCCCCACGGGGACGGGUACCCUCGAGGAUUUUUCCCAUUCGGGGAGGAUAUGGGGAUAAUUUCAUACCCAAUUUCUUAUUCGGGGAAGGGACAGGGAAAUUUUUUUACCCAAUUUCUUAUUCGGGGAGGGGACAGGGAUGAGGUGGAAUCUCCAUCCCCUACCCAUUUCCCCAUUUUAAUUUUUAAUUUUAUUUUAAUUUUUUAAAAUUACUAGCAAAAAAAUAAAUUUUAAAUUAUAAAAUUAUAAAUAUUGGUAAAAAUAAAAAAUGUCAAAAUAUUUAUAUUAUUAAACUUUUAGGCCUAAUUAACUAAUUAAAGUCCUAAAUUUUUAUUUAGGACAUUAAAAAGACCGAGUAGAUUCUAUUAGCCCAACAUUUUUUUUAAUUUUAAUAUUCUUUAAAUAUUUUAAACUUAAAUCUAUUUUUUAUUUAUUUUUAGAUGUUAUAAUUGCCCACAGCGAAUCACAAUUUUAAUAUCUAAUCUAAUCUAAUCUAAUCUAAUAUUUGCUCUUGAUUUGCUCCGAUUUAACUAUUGUGUUAUAAAGGGAAUAGUCCACAUUUAUAAAGUGCUCACGCCACCAUUGAAAAAGUUAAUUUUCAAUCUAAAUUCGAUUUUAUUUGUAACAAUUUUUGUAUUAGACUAUUAAUUUGUUCAUGAUAGUUUCUAAAAGAAGUUUGUAUCCUUUGCAUGUUGCGUUACUUACUAAUUUAAUGUAUGUGAAUUUUGUAAUAGAUAUUAAUGUAAGAUAUAUUUCGAGCUUUACUUUUAUUUGAAUUUUUUAUUUUAAUAUGAUUAACUCAAAAUCGAAAAUAAAAAAAAUAUAUUAGUUAUUCGGGGAUCGGGGACCCUCGGGGAUCCCUGUUAUUAUUCGGGGAGGGGAUGGGGAUUCUCUCAAGUAAUUCUGUCGGGGACGGGGAGGGGACAUGGACAUACGCAAAAUAUCGGGGAUGGGUACGGGGAGAUCGGUCCCCUCCCCUCCCCUCCCCAUUGCCAUCCCUACCAAACAGAUCCAACAGUAUCAUUGACGCAAGCAAUAUUAUUAUUCUAUUAUUUUUUAACUCAUGUGGCUAUGUAUCAUUUGAAAAAUACUAUUAUAAGAGGGAGGGAUAUAAUUUAUGCUGGAAUAUUCUCAAAAUAAAUGGCGUGCCUUAAAAGGUGUCUUAUUGUAAAAUACAUCUAACUAAAUAUUGUCAUAUACAAGAAAAAUGUAUCCUUUUUUUUAUAUAUAAAAAAAAAAAGAUGUAUCUAUUCAUGGUGCCAUAUUUUUAUUUGAAAUGAUGGUGGUUGAUCUUGGACCAGUGAUGAUUUAAUUCAAAUUUUGAUCCAAUAACCAUGGAUAGAGGGUGUCAUAAAAGGUAACAACCCAAAUGAAGGGGCACAUGAUUAUCUAUAAAUAGAAGUCACAACAUUUUCUAUAACUAGAAGUUACGCCAUUUUGUGAUCCAUAUAAUCUUCUUGCACCACUCUUUUUUUAUUUAACCCCUCUUUCCUAAAACGAAUUUAUGCAUAAUACAUCUAUAUUUUAUGCAUCAAAUCUCUAAAAUAUUAUUUUUUGCAGGAACAAUAUAUUGAUUUUUCGUAGGCUUGCAACACAGAAGGGUAUUUAGGUUUGCUUUUAUUAGUGCAUAAUACAGGCAAAUAAAACAAGCACUUCAUUAUAUCAUGGAGAUAUAUUUGCUUAACUCAUAUAUAUCACGCAAAUGCAGGAGGGAGUAACUAACUUCUUGAGGAAUGCAACAUUGUGUCUGGCAGCACUGUCAAUUCUCACAGUGUACUAUUCUUAUUAUUAUUAUGAUUAUUAUUCUUUGUACCUAUAAAAUUUCAUCUAUUUUUCUCCAAUUUUCCACAAUUAUUACUCCCCACGAAUAUAUUUCCAAUAUUUUAUUUCAUAUACUUACUUCUGCUACUAGUACGAUAACAAAAUAUGUAUUUUUGAACUACAUUAGUUUCUAGAUCCAUUUUAUUGAUAAAUUAACCGAACGCACCAUCCAUUAUUUAAUUUAUGGGUCACAUAAGUCAUAAGUAGUUGAAAUAAAAUGUUUGUUUGGUAGAUAAAAUCGAUUUUUAAAAUACUUUAAAAGAUUUUAUUUCUAUGAAGCCUAGUCCAACAUAGAAAAUCAAAUAAAAUUAAUUUUCAUCACUACUCGAGAGACUCAAAGAGUAGUAGAGUACUAAGGUAGCAUUUAUUUUUUUAUAUAAAAUUUGAGUAGGCCUGAACUUGGGUGAAGUCUGAAUAUAAAUGUCUAAAUAAUAUGUUUAUUUUUUUAAUAUCUGAAAAUUAAGUGACUUCUUAUUUAUUUUUAUAAUUUUAAAAAACCAAACAUAGUUAUUUAAUAUUUUUGUCCUUAUAAGUCAAAAUGAAUAAAAGAAUUAUGCUUUAUAGUUUAGGAAAUAACUAUAUUUAAUAGAAAUAUCUUUAGGGUAUAGUAUUUACUUUCCAUUUCGAUAAAAGUAACAAAAAUUCACUUUUUGUAUUCAAAUGUAAAUAUGUAAAACUCACACAUAAGUUCCUAAACGUAAACAAGCAACUUCAAGAAAUAAAAAAAAGUUAUGUAGCUUUUGUUUUAAACAAAAAUAAUAAAUAAUAAUAAUUUUCAAAAUUAAAUACAGUAUCACCCUGCUCAUUGCUGAUAGUUUUGAAAAUUAAGUUAUGGUGUUCAUGUGGAAAUUUCAGCUAAAAGUCCACAAAGUAAUUUCAGUCAUCGUAGUCCACGGUGCUUGGACAAUGAGAUGACAUUGAAAAAUUAUCACGGAACUUCAAGGGAGGUUCAUAGCAUCGAUUUAUUCUACAGAGUCACGCUCAUUUUGGCUUAGAAAUUGUUUUCAUAUGAUCAAAAUCUCUCCCAAAUCAAUCCAACUGUCUCUGUUAAUUAUGGCAACAAGAAAUAUGAUGUUUUUUUAGUUUUUUGGGUAGAUAAUCUCAAUUUUAAAAUACUUCAAAAGAUUUUCAAACAUAAGAUACAAUGGUAUACAACUAAAGCCUAAUCCAACAUAGAAAAAUUAAAUAAAAUUAAUUUUCAUCACUACUCAGAGAGAAUUGAAAGGACAUUAAGGUAGUGUUUAUUUUUUUUAAUCUAAAAUUUGAAUAGGCCUGAAUUUGACUGAAAUCUAAAUGGGUUUGAAUAUAAAUGUCUCAAUAAUAUUUUUCUUAAUAUCUAAAAAUUAAGUGGCAUCUUAUUCGUUUCUAUAAUAAAAAAAAAACAUAUCAAACGCUGUUAUUUGACAUUUAUGCCCUUACAAGUCAAAUUGAGUAAAAGGGAUUAGGCUUCGUAGUUUAGGAAAUAACUUUAUUGAAUAGAAAUAUUUUUAGGAUAUAGUAUUUAUUUUGCAUUCAAACAUUUUCUCAUUUUGCCAAAGGUCACAGAAAUUUACUUUUUUAAUUUAAAUGUAAAUGUCUAAAAAUCAGACAUAAGUUACAAAAAAAAUUAUUAUUAUUAUUAUUAUUAUAAAGUUAGACUUCAUUUAUUUAACAAUCAACCGUAAGGAACAUGAAAAAGAGCUAUUAAAAAAAAAAAAAGAAUACUUUUGAAACUAAAUAUAAUUAGUUGAGAGAUGAGGACCGAUAAGAUAAAUUGAGAGAUAAAAACUAAAAUAUCAUCCCCUCAUUGUUGAUAGUUAUGAGUAUGAAAGCACAGAAGCCGUGUGUUGAAAACUAUGGUGUUCAUGUGGAAUUUUCAGCUAAAAGUCUACAAAGUAGUGGAAUUAAUCAAUCAUCGCGGAGUGCACGGUGGUUGGACAAUGAAAUGAAAUUGAAAAAUUAUCACGGAACGUGAAAGAAGGUUCAUGGCAUCGAUUUAUUGUACAGAGUCGCGCACAUUUGGUUCAAUAAUUGUUUUCAUCCGAAUCAAAUCUCUUUCUAAUCAAUUCAACUGAUUUUGUUGAUUAUGGCUUCUUCUUCUCAAAACAACAAGAAGUAUGAUGUUUUUGUUAGUUUCAGAGGAGAGGACACCCGCGACAACUUUAUUAGCCAUCUCUGAUAUGCUCUAUGUCGACAAAAUAUCCAAACUUUCAUUGAUGACCAACUUAAUAGAGGAGAUGAAAUUUCGGAGUCACUUGCGCAUGCAAUUGAAGUAUCAGCCAUUUUAGUUAUCGUCUUCUCAGAAGGGUAUGCAUCUUCCAAAUGAUGUCUCGAUGAACUUGUAAAGAUCCUCAAGUGCAAGAAAGAGUAUGCACAUAUUGUGAUUGUUGGGAAAUUGAUGGGUGAAGCAGGACCACAAGUAAAAUGAAAUUGGAAGAAAAUAAAGAACAAGCUCAAAAGAGGAAUCAGAAAUUACGUGGUUCGGCUUUUAACCUACAUCCACUGGUGAAGAUAGAAGGAAAAUAUUUUACUAGUGAAAAGGAAUUACAAGUAUUGUGGUAUUUUAGCUCACUACCCAAAAUCCCAAUACACCCAAACUCUCAAAUCACAAAUCACUCAAGAGUUUGUUAAAACUCUUAAAAUACUCUCACUUUCUCUCUAAAGAAGAAGAAAUAAAAAUGAAAAAAUUGGAUGCACUAAACCGAUGGGGAACUCCCCUUUUUAUAGCCAAAAUUGGCUAUUAAAAUAAUAAUUUUUUUCUUGGGCGGCACCCUUUCUUCUUCUUCCAAUUUCUUCUUUCUUUUUUUUCUUCAUUCCAAAUUUGCUGCUGCCAAAUUCUUCUUUUUUUCUUCAACAAUUUCGGCAUUCAAAAUGGGCUGCAUCUAGAACGGUUGGCUUCUAGAUUUGCAACAUCCAUUUUUGACAUUCUCCCACUUGGAGAUUUGAUUGAGAAUUAAUCAAUCUCCACACCAUCCUUUCUGCUUCGCCAUUGUCAUGGUGCUUAUGUCUUUACUAGGCCACAAGAGGAUCUAUUCCAUACAAACUUGUCGAUAUUAAUUGGCUUGGUCAUAACAUCUGCUAGGUUUUCCUUUGUAUGGAUUUUCUAUAAAACCACACUUCCGUCUUCCACUACUUCUCAAAUGAAGUGGUAUUGAACUCCUAUGUGCUUUGUUCUAAAAUGAAAGACUGGAUUUCUUGCAAUGUGCAAAGUACUCUAACUAUCACAAACUUUCAUUGAUGACCAACUUAACAAACGAGAUGAAAUUUCAGAGUCACUUGUGAAUGCAAUUAAAGCAUCAGCCAUUUCAGUUAUCAUUUUCUCUAAACACUACGCUUCUUCCAGAUGGUGUCUUGAUGAACUUGCAGAGAUCAUCGAGUGCAAGAAAGAGCAUGCACAGAUUGUGUUACCGGUUUUCUACCGCGUUGAUCCAUCAGACGUGAGAAACCAAAAAGGGAGUUUUGGGGAUUCAUUUUCAAAGCUUGAAGAAAGAUUUGAGCAAAAUUCGGAGAAGCUGCAGACAUGGAGGAAGGGAUUGAGAGAAGCGGCUGGUUUGUCUGGAUUUCAUUAUCGUAGCAUCAGGUGAAAGUUACUUUUAAUUUCUCAUGCUAAUAUUUAACACUGUAAAUAAAAUUCAUGCAGCAUUCUUAGUUAAAUUUCCGGAUGCUAAACUACAAUUUUAAAUUUUUUAGGCAUCAAAUUCUAGGCUUCUUGACUUCCCCACUUUUGAACCUUGAUGAUUAUGAAAGAAUUUUGACAGAAUUAAUAAUAAAAGCCCGAUAAUUUUACAAUAUAUUUAACAAAAUUAAUGGUGGUCUGUCGUUUUUUUAAGCAAUUUCGAUCUCACAUACCUCCAUCAGCAAAACAAAAAGAAGUCACACAUAUUCCUAUAAUUUAAGAGUUAUUAAUUUAUAGGGAGAUUGUAGUGGUAUAUAUUAAUUUCAAUUGGAAAACUAGCAAUCUCCCUUAUUUCAUAUUUGAUGCAAAUCCCUCCUAUUUGAAGCUACUGCUGCUAAUUUUAUGUAUUUGGCAGGCCUGAAUCAGAACUUAUAAACGAAGUUGUUAAUCACAUUUUGAAGAGACUGAUGGAAGAAGUGUUUCGGCCGCGUGAUAACAAAAGCCAGCUGGUUGGAGUAGAAUCAAGAGUUGAGGAAAUUGAAUCUCUACUAAGUGUUGAGUCGAAAGAUGUUUACGCUUUAGGGAUUUGGGGCAUUGGUGGUAUAGGCAAAACAACAAUCGCUAGAGCUACUUUCGACAAAAUCUCUAGAUAUUUUGAAGGUUCUUGCUUCCUUGAAAAUGUUAGAGGAGAGUCACAAAGAACGGGAGGAUUAGCUUGCUUGCGACAAAAACGUCUUUCAAAUUUAUUGAAGGAUGAAAAUGUGAUUCCUGGUAUUGACCUCAAUUUUAGAGGCUCAGCCUCAUGAAGGUUCUGAUUGUUUUUUAUUAUGUGACUUGCUUCAGCCAAUUAGAAUCUAUAAUUGGAAGUCUUGAUUGGUUGAUGCCUGUGAGUCGAAUCAUAAUAACCACCAGAAAUAAACAAGUGCUUAGAAAUUGGGGGGUGAGGAAAAUAUAUGAGAUGGAGGCAUUAGAAUAUCAUCACGCUCUUGAGCUUUUUAGUCGACAUGCCUUCAAACAAAACCAUCCUGAUGUUGGUUAUGAGGAACUUUCAAGUAAGGCAAUGAAAUAUGCUCAAGGUGUUCCUUUAGCUCUUAAAGUUUUGGGUUGCUUUCUAUAUGAAAGGGUAAAAGAAGUCUGGGAAAGUACAAUAAAUAAAUUGUAAAGAAUCCUCCAUCCAAGUAUUCUAGGGGUAUUAAAAAUAAGUUAUGAUGGUUUGGAUAAUAAAGAGAAAAAUAUUUUCCUUGAUGUUGCUUGUUUCUUUCAAGGUGAGGAUGUAAAUCUUAUAAUGAAAUUCCUUAAUGCAAGCGGCUUCUACCCAGAAAUAGGAAUAAGUGUUCUCGUUGAUAAGUCUCUUAUAAUCAUAUCAAAUAACAACAAGAUAACUAUGCAUGAUUUGCUACAAGAAUUGGGUAGGGAUAUUGUUAGUCAAAAAUCAAAUGAUCCUGGAAACCGCAGUCGGUUGUGGCAUCACGAGGAUAUCUACGAAGUUCUUACAUAUAAUACGGUAAGCAAUUUGCUGUGGAUUAUUACUUUGGAAUAUUCUAGCAUUUACAAACUUGAUAUGUAAAUAUUUAUAUACCCUCGAAUUGAUGAAGCUAGAAUUAAUAGUGGUUAUAAAUGCCGUGACAACUUGUAUAAUUCUUUGUAAGGAUAGUUUAUAUUGUCAAUUUGUAUUGUAUCCCACAUGCGUAAAUUUCAUGUUUAGUAUUACUUGUAUUAUUAUGUUCCUUUGUGCGUUUGCAAUUAAGAGUUUCACUGCCUAGCAAUGACUAUAUAAACAUGAAUUACUGAAAUUUGAUUCAAGCAAUGAUAAAAAAUUCCACUCCAAUCCCACCUCAAUUCCACACAAGAGUGAAAAAAAAAGGUUGAAUUAAUAACUAAGUUACCCCUUGUUGUGAAUCAAUGGCAAACAUGCCCCAAAAAUUUGUCUCGGUGGGGUUGAGGUGCAAUUCAUUGGUGGGAUAUAAAUAUCAUUUUUCAUUUUUUUAUUGAUUAUUAGGGGACCGAAAAAGUUGAGGGCAUCUGUUUGAAUAUGUCCAAAGUGAAAGAGAUUCACCUAAAUCCCAAUACAUUCACAAAGAUGCGGAAAUUGAGAUUUUUAAAAUUCUAUAGCUCAUCAUUCAACGGAGAGAACAAAUGUAAGGUGUCUUAUUUGCUGAAGUGAAGUAUCUCUGUUAAAGUAUGAGCUUUAAACUGAUUUCCAGAAGAUCAACCGUCAUGUCAGUUUGUGUUUAUUUUGGUAUACGACAUGUCAGCUGUAAAGCAUACAAGUCUGUGUGACAAACUUGUAUCGUCAUCCAAAGUCUAUUAAGUAAAGCACGCAAAUGUCACGUGCUUUCACUUACUCCAUACGGCAUGGAAGACUGUCAUUUUGGGGGUCACUGCUUGGAAGAAAUCAACACAUGUCCUCAAGGUUGUUAAUGACAGCUACAACAGGCGGGAGAACUCUGGGUUUUGUUAGCUAACAAACCCAGAUUACAGCUGGUUGACAGGGGAUAUUUGUGAAGGGCUUUAAGCUAGUAUAAGUAGCCUUAAGGGUUGGGAAAUCAGUAGUUGUAUUGUGUGUCACUUCGUCUCUAAACUUGUAACUUGUUCUUGGUGAUUGAAUAAAAGCUGCUGCUCUGUUCUUCAGUGGAUGUAAGCUGUCUUCAGCUGAACCACUUAUAUUUGUUGUUCUUUGCUUAUUGUUUCUGGGUGAUUCUUUUGUGUGAAUUCGAUUAUCCAUUUUCUAGAUCAUUGUUAGAAAGUUCAGCUAGGUCCUGGAGAUUCUUGAUUGGAUACUAAAUCUAAUCUUGGUUCAACAAUCUCCACUGGCAUGGAUAUCCAUUGAAGUCAUUGCCUUCAAACAUUAGUGCAGAGAAGCUUGUGUUUCUUGAAAUGCCUAAUGGCAGCAUUGAACAACUUUGGGAUGGUAUGAAAGUAUGUAUAACUUAAUAGUUUGGGAUGGUAUGAACAUUAUCAACUUUGGGUUUGGGAUGGUAUGAAAGUAUCUCCACACUUUGAAAUUCUUGAUCUCAGUGGUUGCUUAAAUCUUCAGAGAUUGUCCGAAUGUCUUGGCCAGUCGUCCUCUCUAGGAACAUUGCUUCUAGAGAAAACCAAUAUUGAGAGAAUACCAGAAAGCAUCAUCCAAAUUUCUGUGUUGACUUACCUCCGCUUAAGCUAUUGUGAGAGGCUUCAAUCCGUACCAAAGCUUUCAUUUCUUGUACGAUGGUUAGAUGCCGAUCAUUGCACAUCGCUGCAAUCAUUAGCAGGUUUAUUCUCAAGUUCUGAAUCUUAUACAUAAGCAGUGUUUUUUUACUAGAGCAAUAAUUUUAAAUCGGAUGGUAAUUCUACUGCAGGAAUUGUUGAAGAUGCCCUGCAGAGAAUUCAGCUUAUGGCAGCUGCCCAAUGGAAAGAAGUACAGGAAAAGGUGUGUUUUUAACUCUCUUCUUUCAAUUUAUAUAUAUAUAUAUAAUUUUUUUUUUUCAGUUAUCAAUUUUAUUUUUUAUUUUUUGCCGAUUGAUUUUCACAUGAACGGAGGUCAAAUCUUACUACUCGGGAAUGAAAUUCCGAAGUGGUUUGAGUUUCAAAGUGUGGGAUCUUUUUUAACCUUGGAGAUGCCACCAGAUUCCUUCAAUAAUAACCGAGUACUACUGGGCUUUGCAUUUAGUGCUUUUGUAGCAUUUUCAGACCGUCAUGUAGAUAAUGACAGAUGGUUUUCAUUUUCUUGUGAAUUCAAAGUGAAAACCGAAGAUUGUGAUCCUCAUGUCACACGGAGAGAUUUCUUAAGCGCCUUGCUUACGUAGAAUCAGAUCACUUACUUUUGGGGUGCUAUUUUUUCAGUGAGGAGGAUUUCAAUGGUUUUUGGAAAUAUAAUUGCGUUCCUGAGGCAGUCUUACUAAACCAUGACUUCCAAUAAAUCAUGCAGUAACAUUACUUUGUACCCUUUUUCAGUUUUUCUUACUCUCUUGCAUUUUUUAGAGUACAUAUACCAUGGAGAAGUCUAUGUUUGUAACGCCACAAAUUUCCAUAAUAUUAAAUUAUGGAAAUUGGGCUUUCAUUAAUAAUUAUGGGUGCUUAUAACCCUUUUUAAGAAAAUGAUACUAAAUUAUAAAUAGAGUUUAUUUAUGAGAUAGUUUUGAAAAAGGGUUAUUUUUCCUUAUUAAAUAGGGUUUCUUACGAUUCCCUAUAAAUGUCUACUUUUUCCCUUUCCAUAACCCUAAGUUCACGACGUUUAUUCUUCUUCUCUGCUGCUCUUUACGCUCCUACCCAAAUCUUAGGAUUCAAACCUUUGUUUAAGAGAGAAUCAAAGCGACGGGUAAGUUAUUAUCCCUAUUCUCAACAGAUUUCUAAUCACUCUAUCUAGGGUUUAUAUUGGCACGAUUCUAAAUGGUUAUAGAUCAUAAUGCAUGAUUUAGAAUGUAUUUAGGCGUUGUUUAUCGUCUUGAUUUAUUAUGAGUUUAGUUAAUCAAUCCUUGACGUAUUAAGCACAGGAUAAUUCUGGACAGCAUGAGUAUCUCGAAUUUAAACCUAUACUUUCUGAACGAAUUUUCUUAUAAAAUUUAUAUUUCUGGAAACUAGACAUGUAGGGCUUCUUGAGUAAAUUUUAUUUCAUUAAAUUCGACUUCUUUUUUAAUUUUAUAUGUAUUUUCGAAAUAGAAACCACUGCACUGGAAAACUGCGAUUCCAGCAUUGCGAUCGGAUUCACAAGACUAUUUGUACCACCCAAUGAACUCGGAAAAUUCUGAAAGUCUAUAUGUAGGUUAAUAUAUGUGUCUAGGAUUCCCAGUUUUAAUUUCAUAAUUUUCUGAUUAGUAUUUUAUUUUAUAAAAAUCAUGAAAACCGUUCUGUUUGGUUUAGAUUAUGUGAAAACAGUUUCGAAUUUGCUGAGAAGUAAAUAGUUUUUAAAAUGUUUUUGAUAUCGGAUCCUCUUGUAAAUUUUACAUGGGGUACUCAUGGAUGUCCAGAAUAGUUCCACAGAAUAUUAUAUCAUUCUGAGUUUUAGAUUAAGAGUUAAAAUUCUGAGAAUCAGACUUGUACGGGUAUGAAUUAGAAAAUCAGAUUCUUAGAAUAAGUUAUUAAUUGUCAUAUCUUGUAUUUGUUUAAGGUAUUGAAGGUGAUUGAGGCUCUUAGAAGCUUAGAGGUGUGUUAAUUCAAAUUCAUUUGUCGAGGUAAGUAACUUCAUUCCUAGUAUACUGGAUAUGUAUAAGUAUUUUGAUAUUAUUAUAAGUAUAAAUCUUUUUAAACUACUUAAAGGAUUAAUUGAUUUUGAUAACAAAAUUAGUUUUAUGCAAAUGUUUUCAAACCUAAAUUCUUUUUAACAAAGUAUUUUAUAAAUUCUUUUUAAUAGGUAAAUGAUUUUAUGACAUGACAACCUUUUAUGAUUUUAUCUUUAAAAUGUUAUGCAAGCCUAAAUUAUUGAUAUGAACUUUUAUGAAUCUGAUACAAAUGUUUUAUACCCAUGUUUGAUUUCAAUUAUUGAUGAUUGUAUGGGAUUCCUAAUGUUUUGGCUCAUUGUCCAUAGUUAUUCUGAUUCUGAUUCUAAUUCUGAUUGUAAUAUACGAUAUAUCUGUCUGGACCAGUAUUGGGUUUUUGUUUGAGUGUGCACGCGAUAUUCUGAUUCUUUUUCUGGCCGGGUCACCGGGACUAGAGGUGACACUAUGUGACAAGAGCUAACCUUUUGUUUUCUGUAUACAUAUUAUAUGAUUUACUUCGUAAGUAAAUAUGCUUUUGGAUAUUCUGAAUUAUUAAGAAUUUAUGUUAUGUUAUCAUGAUAUAUUGUUUUAUGAAAUUUAUGGAUUAUGAUAUAUGUUUUAAACAAAAGAAGGCUUGCAAUAUUUUUAUAUCGAUAGGCCUAGUAUGUUAGAAAUGGUUUUACUUACCGAGUUGACGGCUCACCCCUCGUCAUUACUUUUUACAAAUUAAGUUUCUUUUGAGAGGUGCGCUUAGCUUUGGAGUUAGUAAUUUUCCGUUUCCGUUUGCCAUUUGAAUAAGAGGAGGAAUAGAUUCGUGUUUCUAUUUAGUUAUUUCUAUUAUGAACGUGUAAUUUGGAGUUUGAGACUUUUGUUAUUAUUUUUAUGUCCUCGGGAGAGAUUAUUUAGUAUUAGAUGUUUGAAUUUGUGGAUUUAUUUGAAUAAGAAUUGGAGGUAUUUCAGUUUGAAACUUAUGAGUAAAGAUUAUGAUUUGUGAGUAACCUCCUUCUUCACGUGCUGCGCACGUGUUAGAUUUGGGGUGUUACAAUGUUACGGCUUGUGUAAGUAAGAGCAGCCAAUGGGGAACUUCCACGAGUGCUAGAGGAGAGAGAAAGAGGUCCAAAUGCAAUUAUGCAAGGUGAUGGAAAUGGGAAAGUUCGAAGCUGUUACUUGCAGCUUCCGCACCGUAGCGGUGUCCGUACAUCAUUAGCUCUUUUGAAAUCUUAUAUUAUAAGAUUUAACAAAAAAAAUGGUACGUUGUUGAUGACUACACUAAGUUUUCUUCUUCUUCUUCUUCUUCUUUUUUUUGAAAGUUUUAAUUUUAGGAUAUCUGAGUGCAUGCCCGGUGGCUUAGCCUCAUGUGAAAUUUCUUCAUGAGAUAUAAGAGGCCUUUUCAAAUUGAAAGUUUUAAAAAAAAUGUUUCUUCAUUAAAAAAAAGUCCUUUAUUUAAAUUAACAUUCUUGCUUUUUUAGAUGCAGAAUUAUAAAUUUAAAUCUUAUAUUAUAAUUUAUACAAUGAUACUGAUUUAAAAUUUAUUUAAAAAAAUCUUUUUUGAUGAUUUUGAUCGUUUUCCACCUUUGGAGUGCGAGUGCUGCGGGGUGAAAAAAUGUGGGGUCCAUUUACUUUACAUCCAACAAGUGAGGACAAACCAGUAAAUAAAUCAUGAAGUUACACACUAGUCUGCUUUCGCACUCAUUCGGAACUAUCAAUGAUACUUACUGCAGGUAUGGUGUAUAAAUUAUACUAAAGUAAAGGCUGGAUCAAUAAGAAAUUCAAAAUGUUUCAUCACAUUUGGGGCUUGACGAUGCCAAAGAAAGACCAUACCAAUUAUCACGAUUGGUAAAAUGUGAACAAGAACAAGCAUACAUUCAAGAAAGCAGAGAAGCAUCAUUAAAAUAAAGCAUUCUUCUCACUAUUCUAUAUUGUUGGAAAAUGGACCAAAAUAAAAAAGAAACCAUAUAUGGAACGUCACAACAAGAAUAUUUGUGCAUUUGGAGAUCAUAGGAUAUUGGGAAGACAUCGGCAGAAAAGUACAAUUUUUUUUUCGUUGGGGGGGGGGGGGGGGAAGGAACAGAGAAGUGCAAGUCAAAAAGGAGAAAAAAUGAAAACAGAGAGAUGAAAAGGAAUGCAAUCUAAUUAAUCGUCUAAGGAGGCUACUAUGCUACAUUUAGCCAUUUGGUUGAAUAAGCAGCUUGUCUUCUAGUACAACUUUAAAUUUACCAAGAUUGAGAAUUUUCCUUCUGAAGAAAAGUAAUUUCUAUAGCGGCUAUUACCAUCUUCAUCCCAACGGUAAGCAGCUCCAUACUAAGGAAAGAGUGAAAUAGGUGUGCUUUACUUAUAGAAGCCCGUUCCUGUCCAGAGUGAUUAGUAAGUUGUUUCACCACGACCCCCAUUAUGGUG